GUGUGUAGGUCACCUAAAUCAUCAGAAAAAUUGCCCCCCCUGAGAAUUUUUUCAGGAGCCGCCACUGGUGACAUGUUAACUAGAUAAGUAGUUAAAUCGUUAGCUAGCUAUCUAUGAACUAAUGUAUUCCCUCUGUGGUUCAUUUUCAGAAUGAGAGAAUUAGGUGAAAAUGAGGCGUUGUUUGUUAAACAAGUGGAUUCAGGGAUCAAGUGUAGUUGGAGCUGGGCCUGGCUUAAGCUGGAUGCCACUAUAGAGGUGAAAGGAACACCACACACGUUCCCUCUUUCUCACUUUUUCAAUAAGGUGGAUAAAAAGGGGUAUGCCAGGUGUACUCUCUGCCUGAAAGAGAUCAAUUAUGCCAACAAAGGGUCUCAUGCUCUGCUGGCACAUUGUAGAACAGAUGUACACAGGCAGAAAGUGUACAAUGUAAUAAUAACGCACAGUGUAGCCCAGAUACUGCCCAGGGACACAGCAACAUUCCACCAGGGGCCAGAGAAGAUUAAGGAACAACAGGCUCAGCUUCCUGUGCCCACUAUAGACCGCAUAGCAAAUGCAGAGGUAGGUGUGUUAGGUCAGCAGCAUCACUAUUUGAGAAGUCAGCAUAGCACAUGUUAAGCAAACUUAGUGUAGGUGAAAUAAGUGUGCCUGCUUUUAGUUAAUUUCCUCAUUUAUGUCUUCUAGGCUAUGGUCCUUGGUGUCCUAGCAGAGCAUUCCCUCCCCUUCGCUAUUGCUCCAGUAAUUGUUGAGCUAGCACAAAAUCUUGCCAUUGACAAGGUGGUGUUGGAGAGGAUGAAGCUCUCGAGAACAGCGGCAUCCUACAAGAUGGUCCAUGGCGGACCUUCUCCGAAAGGAUCUUCUCAAACCUGAGGAGGUUUCCUUUAUCUUUGAACUUGGAUGAGAGCACAUCUAACAGCAACAAGAAGGUCCUCUCCAUGCUGGUAAGCUACUACCCUGAUGACAUGAGGAAGGUGGUGGUGGAGCACUUGGGGUCCCUGGAGGUCAUCAAGGUGAAUGCCAUCAGCUUGGAGAGGGCGCUCUGCGACUUCUUCGACCAUAACAACAUCCCAUGGAAAAAUCUGUGCGGCAAAGAAGUUUGCAGAGCCCUUCGACCAGCAUCUUGAGCAGCUCUUCAAUGAUCUGCACACUGAUCAUCAGUGGUCUCCAGAUAAAGGAAAAACAAGUGAUGUACCUCAAGGAGAUAUGCUGGUACCUGAACAUCCCUGGCUCCAAUCCUCAGAGGUUUGUGCCCCAUCGCUGGCUGUCCACAUAUGAUGUCAGCAUUUCGACACACAGAAUGCUGCCGGCUUACAAGGUCCUGUACUACGGGUUCCUGAGCAACGAUGACCAGGAGCUGUACAAGGACCCACUGGAACACAUUUAUAAAGAACACCACGUGAGCAAGAAGGCACAAGCGCGGAUCAAGUCUUUGCACGAGGACCUCAACAGAAAAGGCAUGACACAACAAGGAAAAAACUGAAAGAAGAGAGUGGCCAGGAAGAUAUGGCAUGAGGGCACUACAACUGACCUACAACUCAGCAUUUACGUGGUUGUACUGGCUAUCCAGAAGGAAUACGUAAUGGUUUUCCAGGGUAGCCAGACAUUGGUACAUAAGCUCCAUGACAAGCAGCUUGAAACAUUCCAGCUUUUUCUGUCUUGCUUCGUCAAAGCUGAAUACAUCACUAAAGGGUCAGUGAUGGUAUUUGAGGAGAAGAUGCUGCUGUCUGCCAGGGAGAUGUAUGUGGGGCGGGAAGCAGAUGGAUUCAGAACCAGGAAUCCCAAUCAUGCUCUGCUGAAGUCUUUCAUGGAACAGGUCACCAAAGCCUACACCACCACUGCACUUUACAUGCAGAAUAAGUUGCCCUUGCAAGGUCACACACAGGUCAUUGUCUGCUCUGGACCUGAUUUUGAGAGGCCACUCCAUCCAGUUGAAGAAGCUGAGUGCAAUGUUGGGCCGCCUCUCACCAGCCGGCAGUAAUCUCCACCAGGAGAUCAUGCGAUACAACAUUGAUCCAUGCCUGGCCAGCUUCACGGAGGGAGAUGACAUGGUGGAGUGGUGGCCUCAUGUCUUGGCCCAGACACUGAAGUAUCCAGCCCUGGGUAAUGUGGUGAAAGGUGCCCUCUCCGUCUUUCAUGGUCCCAGGGUUGAAUCUUCGUUUAGCUGGAUGAACGAUAUCAUUGAUACAGGAAGCACCAACAUGAACAUCUCAACGUUCAAUGCAAUACAGGCUGUGAAGUACACCCUGCAGUCCAGGCAGAAGACCGCAGUGGAGAUGUUUAAACGGGAGGAUGCAAGGUUUGGGGAGGUGGACCGAAGGCUCUGCAGAAACAUCAGGUCAGCAGGGACAGUAGACAAGACCCAGCGGCAGCAGAGUCUGCUGAAAGACUGAAGAUGACAUCUCGAGUAUGGCUGUCAUCCAUCAGGAAGUGCUCUGGAGAGCAAGAGGGCGGUAGCUGAAGAGGAGAUGAAGGCAAGGUUCAAGCAUGCUGCAAAACAGUGCAAGCGGGCACUUGUAAUACUUGUCCAUGCUAAGAAAAAUAAGUAGGGGCAGUCCCUCUACCCAGCCCUCUCCUUCCCUCCAGUACUCUCCCUUUGUCAAAUAAAUCCCAGAUUGUUCCUGGCCUAGGAAGCAGCAGGCCUGUUUUCUGCCAUUUACCUUAAUUUGACGGACUAUGUUUUAUGUUUGCAAUUCAUAUAUAUUUUUUAAAGAAAGUGUUGUGAAAAUGUAUGUGGGUAUAGGAAAGGAAAGUUCUAUUUGGGUUUUGUUUAAUUUUCCCUCUGAAAUGUAUUUUUAUUUUUAGGGGGUAGAUCAGCUUUAAUAUUGCAGAUAGAUUGUAACUUCCA